rnacentral:rRNA from 1 species
GUGGGGAAUUUUGGACAAUGGGCGCAAGCCUGAUCCAGCAAUGCCGCGUGCAGGAAGAAGGCCUUCGGGUUGUAAACUGCUUUUGUACGGAACGAAACGGUCCGGGUUAAUACCCUGGGCUAAUGACGGUACCGUAAGAAUAAGCACCGGCUAACUACGUGCCAGCAGCCGCGGUAAUACGUAGGGUGCGAGCGUUAAUCGGAAUUACUGGGCGUAAAGCGUGCGCAGGCGGUGCUGUAAGACAGGCGUGAAAUCCCCGGGCUCAACCUGUGAAUUGCGCUUGUGACUGCAGUGCUGGAGUACGGCAGAGGGUGAUGGAAUUCCGCGUGUAGCAGUGAAAUGCGUAGAUAUGCGGAGGAACACCGAUGGCGAAGGCAGUCCCCUGGGCCUGUACUGACGCUCAUGCACGAAAGCGUGGGGAGCAAACAGGAUUAGAAACCCCGGUAGUCC